UUGGAGGGCAAGUCUGGUGCCAGCAGCCGCGGUAAUUCCAGCUCCAAUAGCGUAUAUUAAAGUUGUUGCAGUUAAAAAGCUCGUAGUUGAAUUUCGGGAUCAAAUUGUCGGUCGUGCCUCGGUGCGCACUGGUAUUAUUGGUUCCUACCUUCUGAAGAACCGCGAUGGCAUUAAUUUGGUGUCUUGGGGAAUCAGGACUGUUACUUUGAAAAAAUUAGAGUGUUUAAAGCAGGCUUACGCUUGAAUACAUUAGCAUGGAAUAAUGAAAUAGGACGUUUGAUUCUAUUUUGUUGGUUUCUAGGAUUGACGUAAUGAUUAAUAGGGAUAGUUGGGGGCAUUAGCAUUCAAUUGUCAGAGGUGAAAUUCUUGGAUUUAUUGAAGACUAACUACUGCGAAAGCAUUUGCCAAGGAUGUUUUCAUUAAUCAAGAACGAAAGUUAGGGGAUCGAAGACGAUCAGAUACCGUCGUAGUCUUAACCAUAAACUAUGCCGACUAGGGAUCGGAUGAUGCUAAUUUUUUAAUGACUCAUUCGGCGCCUUACGGGAAACCAAAGUGUUUGGGUUC
rnacentral:rRNA from 1 species